GCCAAAAGGCUGGACUCCCUGUGAAUUUCACUUAACAGCUCCCCUCCAUCCCACUGCCCACCACCACCCAACCUCAUGGCCACAGAGCUGGGAGCUUUGGUUACUUUUGUGUUGUUUAAUCUCCUUUGGACCAAACCCCUAAAAAAAACACAACCCAAGAACAAUACCCACAUUUUCUGUUUCUCCCCCUUUCCCCCCAAUCCUGGCUGCUUAACUUCCCCCACCCUGGGGGCCCCCCAGCCCAGGGCCCGUGUCCAUUGUCGGCCGAAGCCCCCAUCCCCGGACCCCUGCUCCGGGCCCCUGUCUGGAGACACCAGAGGAAGGGGCACCUCUAUCCCUCUCCCCACGACUGGCCCCAGCCCUUUCUGCACAUCUGCCCUGGGCCUUGAUUGGGUUCUGAGGCAAAAGCUGCUUCAUGGCCCUGGGGGCACAGGACACCAGCCCACUCCCACCACCCCACCUCUCCUGAAGGGCCUGUUUCCUCCCAGGUGCCCUUUUGGCCUUUGUGAGGGAGCAAGGAACAGGCUCGAAGGCUUGGGGGUAUCUGCCUUCUGCUGGGGCUCCUGUGAUGGGCCUUCUGUGCCCAGCAUUCGCACUUGACUCCCCCACCAGUGGGCCUGUUCUACCUGUGCGGGCCCCUGGGAGGGCAGCGGGGGCCUCCCCUACACGCCCCAGCCCAGCCUCUUCCCCACAUUAGGGGUUUCUCAGAAGCUGGUUCUCAUAUUCCCUGCAACCCUCAGCUAGAGGUAGGAUAUCCCUGAACCCUGGGCUCCCAGCCCUAGAACUCACUGCCUCCCCCAAGGGCCCCCUCGAAGGAGGGUGUGGGGGAGCCCUGAGGGCUGCCUCUUCGCCAGUCAGCCACAGAGACCCUCCUCCUUUCACGAGGAAAAGACCUCCCCCAAACCCCUAAAAAUGUUUACAGUCUCUGCUGGUCCCCUCCAUGUAAAUACCACUACCACCCGUGCGUUACCCAGCCCGGCCCGGCCCGGACGCUGCCAUCUCUCUUUCUGGGAGUUUAGACAAUGUUUCCCUUGGAUUUUUCUCUCUCUUGAUUUCUCCCUUUGCUUUGGGGGGUAAUUGGGUAUUGGGAGGAGGGGUGUAGGGAGGGCUAAAGGGGUUUAUUACCUGAUCAUUUUCUUUAGGAAGAGGUUUUAGGGAAAAGAAC
rnacentral:lncRNA from 1 species